UUUUCCAAAAACAUAUUUAAUAGAACUAAUUAUUAAUAUAACCUGCUCAAUGUAUAAUAAAUAGCCGCAGUUUAUACUGUGCUAAGGUAGCAUAAUCAUUUGUCUUUUAAUUAAAGACUAGAAUGAAAGGUAUAACAUUUAAAUUAUUAUUCAAAUUAUCAUAUUAAAAUUUAAUCUAAAUGUAAAAAAGCAUUUAUUAUAAAGAAAGACGAUAAGACCCUAUUGAACUUAACUUAAGUUAAACUGGGGAAGUUAAAUAACUAACAUUUUAUAAACAUUUCAACAAAUGACCUAAUACAAUUAAUUUAAUGAACAAGUUACCAUAGGGAUAACAGCGUAAUAUUUUUUCAUAGAUCUUAUAAAAAAAAAUGAUUACGACCUCGAUGUUGAAUUAAUUAUUCUAUUAUAACGCAAAAUUUAAANAGAUGGUCCGCUC
rnacentral:rRNA from 1 species